rnacentral:rRNA from 1 species
AGGAUGAACGCUAGCGACAGGCCUAACACGAUGCAAGUCGAGGGGCAGCGCGGGUAGCAUACCUGGCGGCGACCGGCGCACGGGUGCGUAACAGGUGUGCAAUCUGUCCAGUAAUCGGGGAAUAGCCCGGCGAAAGUUGGAUUAAUGCUCCAUGUGAAACGAAGCCGCAUGACUUUGUUUUAAAACGCGAGGAUUAUGGAUGAGCACGCUUCUGAUUAGCCAGUUGGCGGGGUAACGGCCCACCAAAGCGACGAUCAGUAGCCGGCCUGAGAGGGCGGACGGCCACAUUGGGACUGAGACACGGCCCAGACUCCUACGGGAGGCAGCAGUGGGGGAUAUUGCACAAUGGAGGGAACUCUGAUGCAGCGACGCCGCGUGGGUGAAGAAGUAUUUCGGUAUGUAAAGCCCUAUCAGCAGGGAAGAUAAUGACGGUACCUGACUAAGAAGCCCCGGCUAACUACGUGCCAGCAGCGGC